UCAGUUCCUUGCAUGUCCUGCAUUACAGGGAAUGGCCCAGAGGUUCAAAUGUCCUUCAUAGAUAAGGAAUGAGUCUCCAAGUUGGCCACUCACAAUUUCUUAUGUGGAGACUCUGACCAACACAUUCUUCUUAGACCAUAGAGUCAUUCUCAGGCUAUGCUUCAGUUAUUACUAUCAGAAGAGGUAAUUUGGACACACAAAGAAAUACCAGGGAUGCUCAUAUAUGGAGGAAAAAACCAUGUGAGAACACAAGGAAAGUGGCCAUCUGCAAGCCAAGGAGAGGGGCCUCAGAAAAAAAAACCAGCUGACACCUUGAUCUUGGACUUCUCGCCUCCAGAACGAUGGAAUCUCACUCUGUGGCCCAGACUGGAGUGCAGUGGUGUGAUCUUUGCUCACUGCAACCUCCACCUCCCAGGAUGAAGUGAUUCUCCCCUGUCAGCGUCCCAAGCAGCUGUUAUUACAGGCAUGCACCAUCACACCCAACUAAUUUUGUAUUUUUAGUAGA